rnacentral:rRNA from 1 species
CGGGGGGCAAGCGUUGUUCGGAAUUACUGGGCGUAAAGGGCUCGUAGGCGGCCAACUAAGUCAAACGUGAAAUCCCUCGGCUUAACCGGGGAACUGCGCUUGAUACUGGAUGGCUUGAGAUUGGGAGAGGGAUGCGGAAUUCCAGGUGUAGCGGUGAAAUGCGUAGAUAUCUGGAGGAACACCGGUGGCGAAGGCGGCAUCCUGGACCAACACUGACGCUGAGUGAGCGAAAGCCAGGGGAGCAAACGGGAUUAGAUACCCCGGUAGUCCUGGCCCUAAACGAUGAAUGCUUGGUGUGGCGGGUAUCGAUCCCUGCCGUGCCGAAGCUAACGCAUUAAGCAUUCCGCCUGGGGAGUACGGUCGCAAGGCUG